AAGAAUAUUGUUUUUUUUUUUUUUUUUUUGUUUUCGUUAUUUCUUUUAUAAUUUGUAUCUCUUUUUAUAACUUAACACUUUAAUAGGAAAACAAAAAUUUGUAUAAUUAUUGCAAAUUAAGUGAAUUGUUAAUCACUUUUUCAAAUAAGUGAAUGCAUGUAGAAUUGGCUGUGUGGCUUUGAAGUGUUCAAAAUAAAAUAUCAAAGAAACGGUGUAAUAAUUUUAUAAGCUAUUUUUAUAAAAUUCAAUACAACGGGUUUUGUUUUAUUAUGUCAUACUUAAUAUUGAACUAGUUUCAAAUUCAUUAAUAAAACAAUUGGCCUACAAUACUUUCAUAAAUUCCCCUUCCUCACAACAAUCUCGUGGAUCUAAUUGUUCUCUAAUCGUAUUUGUUCAUUGGAUUCAAUAAUAAAUUAAUUGUUUGGACAAUUUUUUUUAUAUUUAUUUAUUUGAUUCAAAACGACGACUUUGAUUUUGUGAAGCUGUGCGAGUACAAUUUUUUGUUAUUUGUUGUAUCCAUUUUCAAUUGGUUUCAUACAAUUUGCUGCCGCUGUUAGCUGUGACUGACCAUGGCAUUUUUUC